GUCGAGCGGUAGCACAGAGAGCUUGCUCUCGGGUGACGAGCGGCGGACGGGUGAGUAAUGUCUGGGAAACUGCCUGAUGGAGGGGGAUAACUACUGGAAACGGUAGCUAAUACCGCAUAACGUCGCAAGACCAAAGUGGGGGACCUUCGGGCCUCAUGCCAUCAGAUGUGCCCAGAUGGGAUUAGCUAGUAGGUGGGGUAACGGCUCACCUAGGCGACGAUCCCUAGCUGGUCUGAGAGGAUGACCAGCCACACUGGAACUGAGACACGGUCCAGACUCCUACGGGAGGCAGCAGUGGGGAAUAUUGCACAAUGGGCGCAAGCCUGAUGCAGCCAUGCCGCGUGUGUGAAGAAGGCCUUCGGGUUGUAAAGCACUUUCAGCGGGGAGGAAGGCGAUAAGGUUAAUAACCUUGUCGAUUGACGUUACCCGCAGAAGAAGCACCGGCUAACUCCGUGCCAGCAGCCGCGGUAAUACGGAGGGUGCAAGCGUUAAUCGGAAUUACUGGGCGUAAAGCGCACGCAGGCGGUCUGUCAAGUCGGAUGUGAAAUCCCCGGGCUCAACCUGGGAACUGCAUUCGAAACUGGCAGGCUAGAGUCUUGUAGAGGGGGGUAGAAUUCCAGGUGUAGCGGUGAAAUGCGUAGAGAUCUGGAGGAAUACCGGUGGCGAAGGCGGCCCCCUGGACAAAGACUGACGCUCAGGUGCGAAAGCGUGGGGAGCAAACAGGAUUAGAUACCCUGGUAGUCCACGCCGUAAACGAUGUCGAUUUGGAGGUUGUGCCCUUGAGGCGUGGCUUCCGGAGCUAACGCGUUAAAUCGACCGCCUGGGGAGUACGGCCGCAAGGUUAAAACUCAAAUGAAUUGACGGGGGCCCGCACAAGCGGUGGAGCAUGUGGUUUAAUUCGAUGCAACGCGAAGAACCUUACCUGGUCUUGACAUCCACAGAACUUUCCAGAGAUGGAUUGGUGCCUUCGGGAACUGUGAGACAGGUGCUGCAUGGCUGUCGUCAGCUCGUGUUGUGAAAUGUUGGGUUAAGUCCCGCAACGAGCGCAACCCUUAUCCUUUGUUGCCAGCGGUUCGGCCGGGAACUCAAAGGAGACUGCCAGUGAUAAACUGGAGGAAGGUGGGGAUGACGUCAAGUCAUCAUGGCCCUUACGACCAGGGCUACACACGUGCUACAAUGGCAUAUACAAAGAGAAGCGACCUCGCGAGAGCAAGCGGACCUCAUAAAGUAUGUCGUAGUCCGGAUUGGAGUCUGCAACUCGACUCCAUGAAGUCGGAAUCGCUAGUAAUCGUAGAUCAGAAUGCUACGGUGAAUACGUUCCCGGGCCUUGUACACACCGCCCGUCACACCAUGGGAGUGGGUUGCAAAAGAAGUAGGUAG
rnacentral:rRNA from 1 species